CCGCCUCAGCCUCCCAACGUGCUGGGAUUACCGGUGUGAGCUACUGUACCUGACCUUCUUUUUUAAGUUUUAAUUUGCUUGUGCUGCCAGAGGAAAAAUGGCUGGGUUGCCUGUGUCUUAAACUCUUAUUUCUAUAGGCUGCACACUCUUUCUCCCCAAAAUCUCUGCUGCAAGUGACCUUGUCAAACAAAAGUGUGGAAUAAUGGGAGGCAGCCCAGUGAUGCUGGGUCAUUUUUAAGUAGUUGUUUGCUACUGUCAGAACAAAGGCAAAUCAGAGUUGCAUUAAAGGGAUAUGACACAGUGAACAACUGCCGUCCCGCUUCCCUAAUAAUACUUGUCUUAUAGUGUUGCGUUGAAAACUGAGUGGCUGGAGUAGUUAUUCGUAUGGGUUUGGGAUGAAAAAUGUAUAGGAAAAUAAAGAUCUAUUUCUGUCAUUUAACAAAAUACAGAAUUUCAGAAUUUAGGAAGCAAAAUUUGAUUAAAACAGCUUUCUAAUGCUUUUCAGUGACAGAAACAUUAGGGGUAUGUUAUAUUCCAUUAGAUUGUUAAUAGCAUUGUUCAUUGUUAUGUAGGAUUUUUAACUGUGAUAUGUUUGAAUCUAUUUAUAUUGUACCAUGUUGUGACCAGAUUCUUGAUGUACUUGGAUAAAUUUGGAACAACAGUUAAAUCUUACUCUUUAAAAUACUAAUUAAGUGUAGCACUCUUCUUACAUGUCCAUAAUGGAAAAACACUUGCCUUUUAUUUGUAGCUUGAUAUGUAGUCUGUCCUUUUGUUAUUGUUUUUGGAGGGGGCUUAGGGAUUGUGUGUGACUUAGGUGCUACUAUGAAGUGGAAAGCAUCAGCUGUAUCUGGCAUUUGCAUUUUUAUAAUCAUUGCUUUCAAAAUGUUCCAGAGAGGUACAUUUUCCUCCACCCCGUCUCUCUAAUGCACAGUUAAUAGUAUGUCCUUCACUUGAACUUUUUCCCUUAUAAAUCAAUUAUGCAUUUGCUAUAGUAGUUCAACUUUUUAAAGUGCAUAAGGAGAAUACUGUAUAAAAAGUGCUUGUAAAACAAGUCUACUUCUAAGAUUCUAAACCUUGAGAAUUAUCAUGUUUUGGUUUUUCAAUAAAUGGUUAAUGUAUUGUAAAAAGUUGGACAUUUUACCACAGUUACCAUACUUGAGCUAAUUUUUAGAAUAUUUUUAAAAGAGUUAUCAGUGCUUUAUAUUUCAUAUAAGGCUUUAUAUGAAAUAAAUACAUUAAAAAUGUAGAGUUUUUGAUGCCUGGUUGAAAGUGGAAUUAAGAUUGGUUUUAUUAUGUGCUUUGAAUGUAUUUCUGAAAUAUUUUUGAAGAGGAUACUUGUAAGUUAAAUACCUUUUAUCAUUUAUUUUUAUCAUAAUUUUAUAUAUACUCUGUCAUGAAAUAAUACUAAAGAAUCCCAAUAUUUGUUUUUAUGAUAUAUCUUUACAUUGUAAUCUGUAGUAUUUUAAUUUCCUAUAAACCUCUUAAUAGUACUAGACAAUAUGUGACCUUUUAUACUCAUUCUAUGUGCUAUAAAAUUACUGUUUCCUCUGAUUCUAUUAAAUCCUUUCAAACCACUAGAGAACUCCCUGAUUUGUACUUAACAGAGCUUUUCAUGUAUUAACGAGUUACCUGGCUAUCAAUAAGUACUUGUUUAACUAGAGUGACUAAGUUAAAGACUUGUAGAAGUUAGAAAGGGCUUUCUGAAGCUAAUAAUCCAACACCCUAAUUUGUGACUCUAAGGAUCAGAUGCAGAGUAGUUCAAGACUUGAUGUUUUUGUUCAGGGUAAGGUAGUAAUUUAGUGACAGAAUCCAGGUAACUCAAAUCCUCAAACUAGAGAAAAACUAUUAAGAUUUCUUGACAUUUAUUGUUAUUCCCUACCUUUAGCUUUUACACAGCUAAAUCUACUUGUGGAAGUUCAGCUUCAAAAACUUUUAGCCAUAGUUUCCAAGCUGUGGACUGUGGCUGAGGUUUAUCAACAGCCUCGGUUUUCUAAUUCUCUGAGUGCUCAUCUUAACCACUCCUGCCCAACCCCUCAUUCUACAAUAUUGAGCCUUAACUCCUAUUCCUGUCUCCCUGGCCAUCCUUUGUAAUAGUUUUGUAUUGAAGUGUCCAUGAAUUAACAUUUUGUUUUAAUAGAUAUUCUCACUUCAAGGUGGCAUAAAGUAGUAUAUAUUUCUCAGGAUCGACUUUCCCACUUAAGAAUAUUUGCCUUCACCUCUGUGCAUUAAAAUUUAUUGCUGCGAUUGACAUGACUAAGGUGGCAUAACAUAGUGCUGUGAGCAUAAUCUAGAGCUAGUCUGAAUAAGUCUGAAUCACAGUUCUUCUAUUCAUAACCUUGGGCCACUUAACCUCUCUUGCUUUGUUUUACAUAUCUUUAAAAUGAGGAUUAAAAUAUUUGCUAUUAGGAGGAUUAAAGGAAUUAUAAUAUUAUUCAUAAAGUACUGAGAAUCUUGCCUGAUAUGUAUAGUAAGAUGCUACAUCAGUGUUAAGUCAUGGAAGGAACCAGUAAAUUGUUUCAGUAUUUUAUUGUGUGUGUACUUAGGGUUCUGGAGAUACUCAAAGAACAACACACAUUCCUAGUUUGACCUGAAUGAACCAGGAAUACUUAAUUAUGUAGCGUGUAUCACAUUUAUUUUUAGAGCCACAUUUUACUGAAAUUAAACCUAGGAACAAUACAUGCAAAACAUGGCUUGCUUUUUUUUUUUUUUUUUUGGUGGUUGUUUGCUUUAAAAACGUUGCUUUGUUAAAAAAUAAAAAUAAAAGCUCUUGGUAUUUUUGGGAAGGCAAGUUAGAGAUAGACCUUAAAAGAAACCUAGCUACUGCCAUUUAUAGGUAGUUAUAUGGAUACCUUACCUUUAGAAGUUAUUGAGUGUGACUUAUCUGCUUAAUAGCAAUUAAAUCCGUUUAAAAUGUUUACCAGGUGUUAAUCAUAAGUCAGGGUUGACAUAGCCAGUUUAAUCUUACUUGAAAGAAAAAUCUCAGUAAAUUCAUGUUUACAGAUUUUUUAAAAACUGGCUACGAAUGUUUAUUAUAGAAAUCCAUAAUUUUCCGUUUAUUUGCUAUACUAGAAUACUAUGCAGUUGUAAUGAAUAAGCAUUUAUAGUUUCUGCUCCUAAAAAUUGGACUACAGUUUCGUGAGUUUACUCUCAUCUGGUAAGCUUUCCAGAGAUUCAGGGAAGCCAUAGCUUUCCAAGUAUGCAAAUCUUUCAUGUUCAAAGCACUUCCCUCAGGCACAAGAAGAAUAUUUCAGUGACAUGCUUUGCUCUUUUCCCUUAAUGUAUCUAACAUGAAGGAGUUUCUCAUUAGGUACACAGCUUAUGUACUUACUGUAGGAUCCACAUUUAUACAUACAGAGAAAUUACCCAUAAUUAAGAUCAGAUAUCUAUUUAUUAAUUAAUUUGACAUUCCUGUAAUAAUUUAUUGGUAAAUAAAUAUCUCUUAACUCAUUGAAUGUGGAUGGCAUAUAUUUUUGGAAAAUGUUUCAAAAUACAUGAAAAAAAUAGCAACCUGAGAAAUUUAAGUUACUGUGUUUACAUUUUUGAAAUCACAUGUUUGAAAGGUAUUUAUGAUGGGGACAGCUUAUCUAUGUUUAAAUAGAUGUUGAAGAAAUUAUAUGAGAAGAAUUGAUAGAAAGUUUUAUUUUUAAUUGUUUGCUUUGUAAUAUAUUUCUUGGGUGAGUGUAAAAAGUAGAUUUCAGAAGAUUUAUUUAUACUAUCAAUGCAUGUUUUAAAAUGCUGUUGUUUGAGUUGUAAAUAAAUAAUGAAAAAGGCAUUUUACGUGGCAUUGAAUCAAUCUGUUUCAGUUGUUCACCCUGGAUUUCUUUCAUUUAGUCAUCUUCUUACUGCAAAGGAGGACAUUUGUUCAUUACUUUGCCUAAAUAAUACUAACAUACUAGCAGAUGGUCACUUUCCAACUGGUUUGUCUUCAGAAAAGAAAUUAAAAUAUUAUAGUGCCAGAGAGAGAUAUUAUAAUGCGUCCCUGUCAAAUUAACAGGUCAUUCUUUUCAACUGUUUUAUAACUGCAAAAUAGCUCAAUGUCACAUAAAAGGCUAAAAGCUAGAGCAAAUGGUAUCAUGGGAAAUAUGAAAUAAACACAGUGUAGUGAUUUAUAGUCUUUUCUUGAACACACUAGGAAUAUUUCUUUUCUAAAAAGACACAAAUUAUAUGCUAUGGUAGUAUUUUGGUUGUACUGGAUUCUAGUUUAAUUAGUUCAUAUCAAAAGAUGGCAUUUGUUUUAAAACAUGUGUAUACAUUCUGAAAGAAGAUACUUCCCCCAAAACAUUAAAAAAUACCUUGAAUAUAUUUUUAAACGAAUAUGUUAGCCUAGCAAACAAUGAAAUGAAAACCAAAUAUGAAAAUAAUGUAUCUUCUUCCUGCCCUUUAAUGAAUGAUCUGUAACUCUGAUAAAAAGAUUAGUUUAGAGACUAUUGAAUUAUUUUAAUUCUAGGACCAGACUGAAAGUAGCAUUGUACAUUUAGAAAUGCAACAUAUAAAUGAGUAGAAGUGGAUCCCUAUGUGAUUGGGAAAUAAGCUGGAGAAACUGAAGUAUGCUUAAAACACAGAGUAAUUAGCGAGCAAGCUCAGGAAAAAUAAAUCUAAGAAUACUUAGAAGUAGUGUUUGAAGAACUAGAAUCAUCACAGUUUAAAUUAUUUGUUUUGAACUUUCUCUGCCACUGAAUUGCUGUGUAUCUUUGGGCAGUCACUUAGAUCAUUUCCCCAACUAGAACAUUAGCAAGUUGGCUUAGACAGCUCUUAAGUCCUUUUUUUGAAGUGUUAUAGCUAUUUGGUUGGUGAUCAAUUAAAAAAAAAAAAAAGUAUUUGCCUAAGUGAGCUAGGUGGAUUUAUAAUGAGAAAGAAGGAAGUUAUUAUAAUGAGUAUUCUUUAUAAUAUUAUUUAUUCUUCUGAAAAAAUCAAGUGAUAAUAGAAACCACAAUAUAAAAUAUCUGAAUUCGAUUUGCAUUCCUCCUAAUUACCAGCACUGUGAACAAAAACAGGUCGUUUAGGUCAUCAUUGUGAGCCCACUAUCAGCGGCCAGCGCGGGCGCUGCGGGAGACCGUGGGGCCUGCAGUGGCCGCCCUCUCAGGAGCCACCAUGUUAGUGGCUUCUGGACUGAGCGAGGAAGAGGAGGCUCUGCAGAAGAAAUUGAACAAACUCAAGAAAAAGAAAAAGGCAUUGCUGACUCUGAAGAAGCAAAGUAGCAGCAGCACAACCAGCCAAGGCGGUGUCAAAUGCUCACUAUCAGAGCAGCCUGUCGUGGACACAGCCACAGCAACAGAGCAGGCAAAGCAGCUGGUGAAGUCAGGAGCCAUCAGUGUCAUCAAGGCUGAGACCAAGAACUCAGGCUUCAAGCGUUCUCGAACCCUUGAGGGGAAGUUAAAGGACCCCGAGAAGGGACCAGUCCCCACUUUCCAGCCGUUCCAGAGGAGAGUAUCUGCUGCUGAUGACCUGCAAGAGUCAUCCAGACGUCUCUAGAGGAAAUCUCUGUAUGAAAGCUUUGUGUCUUCUAGUGAUCGACUUAGAGAACUAGGGCCAGAUGGAGAAGAGGCAGAGGGCCCAGGGGCUGGUGAUGGUCCCCUCGAAGCUUUGACUGGGGCUAUGAAGAACGCAGUGGUGGCCACUCCUCAGCCUCCCCUCCCCGAAGCCGCAACCAUGAGAGGAACCGGGACAGAGACCGAGAUCGGGAGCGGGAUCGAGACUGGGAUCGAGACAGAGACCGAGGGCAGGACAGGGAUCGGGAUCGGGAUCGAGAUCGAGACCGGGAACCGGACAGGGAUCGGGAUCCGGAGCAGCAUUGCGACCGAGACCGAAAGGGUCCUUUCCGCAGGUCGGACUCAUUCCUUGAAUGGCGAGCCCCUAGGAAAGGGAAUACUCUCUAUGUAUGUGGAGAAGACUUGAUGCCUACCAUUCUCUGUGGGGCCUUCUUUCCUUUUGGAAACAUCAUUGACCUCUCCAUGGAUUCACCCAGAAACUGUGCCUUCGUCACCUAUGAAAAGAUGGAGUCAGCAGAUCAGGCGGUUGCUGAGCUCAAUGGGACAUAGGUGGAGUCUGUACAGCUCAAAGUCAACAUAGCCUGGAAACAGCCCAUGCUGGAUGCCGCUACUGGCAAGUCUGUCUGGGGCUCCCUUGCUGUCCAGAACAGCCCUAAGGGUUGCCACCGGGACAAGAGGACCCAGAUUGUCUAGAGUGAUGACGUCUACAAGGAAAACCUUGUGGAUGGCUUCUAGGGAACAGAGCUGGAUUCCUUGUGCCUCAUAUGCCCCAAUGCUGGUCUCAGUAAAACACUGAUGUGGAAGCUUAAAAAAAAACAAACAAAAAA